rnacentral:rRNA from 1 species
AGUGAACGCUGGCGGUAGGCCUAACACAUGCAAGUCGAACGGCAGCACAGUAAGAGCUUGCUCUUACGGGUGGCGAGUGGCGGAUGGGUGAGGAAUACAUCGGAAUCUACUUUUUCGUGGGGGAUAACGUAGGGAAACUUACGCUAAUACCGCAUACGACCUACGGGUGAAAGCAGGGGAUCUUCGGACCUUGCGCGAUUGAAUGAGCCGAUGUCGGAUUAGCUAGUUGGCGGGGUAAAGGCCCACCAAGGCGACGAUCCGUAGCUGGUCUGAGAGGAUGAUCGGCCACACUGGAACGGAGACACGGUCCAGACUCCUACGGGAGGCAGCAGUGGGGAAUCUUCCACAAUGGGCGAAAGCCUGACGGAGCAACGCCGCGUGGGUGAAGAAGGUCUUCGGAUCGUAAAACUCUUUUAUUGGGAAAGAACAGAUGAGUAUGAAACCGUGCACAUCUUGACGGUACCAAAUAAAAAAGCCACGGCUAACUACGUG